CCGUGGUGAAACUACGACUCCCAGCAUGCUCCAUUAAUUUCUAUGGAGUUCUGAGAACAGCCAAGCAAAUGUGCAUCUUGGGAGUUGUAGUUUUACCACAGUUGGAGUGCUAGAGGUUAACCAUCACAGACCUAUGUCUUUCAUGGAGAGGUGUGC